AGUGAACGCUGGCGGUAGGCCUAACACAUGCAAGUCGAACGGCAGCACAGGAGAGCUUGCUCUCUGGGUGGCGAGUGGCGGGCGGGUGAGGAAUACAUCGGCAUCUGCCCAGUCGUGGGGGAUAACGUAGGGAAACUUACGCUAAUACCGCAUACGACCUUCGGGUGAAAGAGGGGGAUCGCAAGACCUCUCGCGAGUGGAUGAGCCGAUGUCGGAUUAGCUAGUUGGCGGGGUAAUGGCACACCAAGGCGACGAUCCGUAGCUGGUCUGAGAGGAUGGUGACCGACAUGGGAGGUGGAACGCGGUCCAGACUCCUACGGGAGGCACCAGUGGCGAACAUUGGGCAAUGGUCGCAAGCCUGGUCCAGCCAUACCACGUGGGUGAAGAAGGCGUUGGGGGUGUAAAGCCCUUUUUUUGGGUGAGAAAUCCUUCAGGCUAAUACCCUGGGAGAAUGACGGUACCCAAUGAAUAAGCACCGGCUAACUUCGUG
rnacentral:rRNA from 1 species